GAUGAAGAACGCAGCGAAAUGCGAUAAUUAAUGUGAAUUGCAGAAUUCCGUGAAUCAUCGAGUCUUUGAACGCACAUUGCGCCUCAUGGCAUUCCGUGAGGCAUGCCCAUCUCAGCGUUAGAAAAUAUUCUCAAAUUUUAGUUUUGUGCUAAAAUUUGGAUCAUGUCAAGGAAGCUAUUACUAUUAUUGUGAGCGCUCUUUGGAAAUUGAUAGGUCUUUGAGUUGCUACUCAUAGAACGUGAUGAAUCUUUCUUCGUUCUAUUGUAAUUCACUCUGGUAGUCCUAAAACUUGUAUGCCUGUGGCAUAUCUUGUAAUUUGACCUGAGAUUGGGUAGGGAUACCCGCUGAACUUAAGCAUAUCAAUAAGCGGAGGA
rnacentral:misc_RNA from 1 species